rnacentral:rRNA from 1 species
CUACUCCUACGGGAGGCAGCAGUAGGGAAUCUUCCGCAAUGGACGAAAGUCUGACGGAGCAACGCCGCGUGAGUGAAGAAGGUUUUCGGAUCGUAAAACUCUGUUGUCAGAGAAGAACAAGUUGGAGAGUAACUGCUCCAGCCUGACGGUAUC